rnacentral:lncRNA from 1 species
GUGGUGGGCAGACCGGUAUGUACCACUCGGUACGGGUGGUACGAUUCAAAAUUUGAAUCCUUGAUCAUGAUAUAAGUUUACAUAUGUAGCAGGGUUGGGAUCACUGGAACCAUGAAUCUAGGGUUUAACAAAACAUCAUUUUUUCCCCAUUUAGAUCUGCCACCAGUUUCUUGUUUGACUAUGUUUAUUUCGAGAAUGAUAGUACACAUUGGAUAUCCAACACACAUUGUUAUUUCGAGAAUGAUAAUACACAUUGGAUAUCCAACGGACAUUGUCAUUUCUCCUCUGUUAACUUAAGUUUGUGUUUUUCUAGAGUUUGGCUUGCUGUACGGAAGUAUAAAUAAAAGUACACCAAAUCUGUUUUCUUUUUUCUCUUUUCUUAUAGAUUGGCAACUAGGAUUUUGAUAUUUGGACUCAUCAAGAAGGCAAAGAUAGCGUGAUAGAUCUCGUACAAAAUCAAAUUGACAAAAAAAAAAAAAAAUUUGAAAGGAAAACUAUAAAUGAUUGCAUGUAUAUUCAUAUCUAUAUUGCUAUGCCCUAUUAAUUGUAUGUAUCUCUUUAAAGAACUCUGUGUUAGAAUUAAAUAUAAUCUUUUUGAAUCUUUUUAGGAAGUACAAGAUUUGCUUGAAAUAUUUGACUGUUAGUGGAUACAAUAAUAAUAACUAGGAGGAAUUUAGAUUCUUGAUAUCCUGAUCCAACUUUCUUGUGCUGCAGAAAUGAUUCCUUUAGUUGCAAACCAAACUUGUUCAUCGAAUCUAGCAUUAAGAAGAAAGAAUGGGUUCUUCAGUAUGGGUGAACUUGCCUUCGAUUAAUAACUUGGUCUUUAAGCAUUACAGACAAGAUUCAUGUUUUACAAAUU